rfam:Oryza nivara chromosome 3, whole genome shotgun sequence.
AAUAAGUGUAGCCAUGAGUUUUCGCGCCCAACUUUGAUCGUCCAUUUUAUUUAAAAUUUUUUUAUAAAUAGCAUUUUUGUUGUUAUAAGAUGAUAAAACAUGAAUAAUACUUUACUCAUGACUUAUGUUUUUAAAUUUUUUUUUCAAAAAUUUUCAAAUAAGACAAAUGGUUAAAGUUGGGCGCUGAAAACUAUGACUGCACGGAUG